CGCAAAUGCACAUGCACUAGUCUUGGAACACAAGGCCUCAUUGUGAGCUCUGGUUAGCAUCACAAUGAAUGUCACCAUUGCCUAGCAAAGAGUCCCUGCUGCUUGGUGGAGAAGGAGACCUCUGUGGAAGUGUGUUGGUUGUGGAGUCUUGCCUGUCUUCUCUAUGGUAUCCACGGGGUUGUCCCAUGAUCCUAGGAGAGGAAAAACAUAAGCCAGCCUGAAGAUACGUCAAGCACAGCCACAGGAAUAAACUGCAAAAUCCCUAAGAAUCCAAAAGGAUCUGCAGGAUUUCUCAAGCCUGCCUAGAUGUCGUAAGUCGCUACUGGACACCAUUCUCAGGCUGGCAAUUGCCACAGAGGGCAUCUGAGACAUUGUCUCAACUUCAUCUGCACCAGUGGGAGGCCUUUCCCAGGUGGGAGAACACUACUCCACUUUGGAAUUGCCAUUGUCAGUGUUCCUGGCUUUCCCAGAGAGCCACUGCAAGGCCCAGGAUGAAGGGAGGCAGUGAGAUUAAGGACACAAUCAUCUUUCACUGACAUCCAACUCUGGGACCUCAGAGGGCUGCAUUAUUCCUGUAAGAUGAGAAACAGACAGCCUAUUUUGGCUUUUGCAUGGUGAUCAAGCCUCUGUUGUAUUUCAUCUGCAAGUCUUCUCAUUAGGAGGGGCUUUUUCAUUGUCUGCUGCUGGAUGGAACAGCCUCUUGCCACAGAUUAUUUGGCUGCCAGGGAUUUCAAAGAGCACAAGAGACUUCAGCCCUUGCCAGAACGGUGGUGCAGUGAUGUAUUACCUGCCAACAGCACAAUGUGAGGCAGGGUCCAGCCGUUCUGCCCAGCAUACAACUUGAGGGAGCAGCCCCUUUUGAAGACCUCCAGGUGGACUUCACAGGAAUGCCAAAGUGUGGAGUGAUCAUGUGUGGAUCAAGGACUGGAAUGUAGCCCACCCACAACUACGGUGGGAAGGACCCCAGACCAUCAUUUUGACGACUCUCACAGCAUGAAAAUAGAAGGAUUCCCAGCCUGGAUCAAUCACAGUCAUGUAUCAUCUACAUUGUCUGAGACCUGAGAGGUGAGACUGAGCCUGGUGGACCCCUGCAAAGUGACAUUGAGAAAGAUGGCAAGCCCUGCUACAGUCACAACCAGAAGCUUACUGUUGUAUGCAUGGCAAAAGAAUGAGGAUACUCAUCAUGGGAUUUAUUCUCCUUAAAAUUUGUACUUCUAUAAUAAAGACUGAUUUUUCCUGCAUGGAGGACUGUUC
rnacentral:lncRNA from 1 species